rnacentral:tRNA from 1 species
AGUAAAGUAAGCUAAACAUAAGCUAAUAGGUUCAUACCCUGUAAAUGGAAGAAAUAACUUCCCUUUACUA